UUCCGGUUGAUCCUGCCGGAGGUCACUGCUAUUGGGAUUCGAUUAAGCCAUGCGAGUCGAGAGGGUUCGGCCCUCGGCUGACUGCUCAGUAACACGUGGAUAAUCUGCCCUUGGGUGGAGAAUAAUCUCGGGAAACUGAGAAUAAUACUCCAUAGAUCUAGGAGGCUGGAAUGCAUCUAGGUUGAAAGCUUCGGCGCCUAAGGAUGAGUCUGCGGGCUAUUAGAUUGUAGUCAGGGUAAUGACCUGACUAGUCUACGAUGGCUACGGGUUGUGAGAGCAAUCGCCCGGAGAUGAUAUCUGAGACACGAUAUCAGGUCCUACGGGAUGCAGCAGGCGCGAAAACUUCACACUGUGCGAAAGCACGAUGAGGGAAUCCCAAGUGCCAGCUCGUAAGAGUUGGCUGUUUUUUUGUCUAAAAAACAGAGAGAGUAAGAGCUGGGUAGGACGGGUGCCAGCCGCCGCGGUAAUACCUGCAGCUCGAGUGGUGACCGCUAUUAUUGGGCCUAAAACGUUCGUAGCCGGUUUCGUAAAUGCUUGGGUAAAUCGUUUGGCUUAACCAAACGAAUUCCGGGUAGACUACGAGACUUGAGAUCGGGAGAGGCUAGAGGUACUCCUGGGGUAGAGGUGAAAUUCUGUAAUCCUAGGGGGACCACCAGUGGCGAAGGCGUCUAGCUAGAACGAGUCUGACGGUGAGGAACGAAGCCCUGGGGCGCAAACGGGAUUAGAUACCCCGGUAGUCCAGGGUGUAAACGCUGCUCGCUUGAUGUUAGAUAGGCUCCGAGCCUAACUAGCGUCGGAAAGAAGUUGUUAAGCGAGCUGCCUGGGGAGUACGGUCGCAAGGCUGAAACUUAAAGGAAUUGGCGGGGGAGCACGGCAACGGGAGGAGCGUGCGGUUUAAUUGGAAUCAACGCCGGA
rnacentral:rRNA from 1 species